rnacentral:lncRNA from 1 species
UCCCAAAAGGGGCAUUAGAAAUCCUGGCGUUUUGCUGAUGUUCUGCUUCUUGAUGUAGAUGCUUAUACUGUAGAGCACAUCUCUUCAAGGAGAACUACAAACCACUGCUCAACGAAAUAAAAGAGGACACAAACAAAUGGAAGAACAUUUCAUGCUCAUGGACAGAAAGAAUCAAUAUCGUGAAAAUGGCCAUACUACCCUAGGUAAUUUAUAGAUUGAAUGCCAUCCCCAUCAAGCUACCAAUGACUUUCUUCACAGAAUAGGAAAAAACUACUUUAAAGUUCAUAUGGAAUCAAAAAAGAGCCCGCAUUGCCAAGAUAAUCCUAAGCCAAAAGAACAAACCUGGAGGCAUCAUGCUACCUGACCUCGAACUAUACUACAAGGCUACAGUAACCAAAACAGCAUGGUACUGGUACCAAAACAGAGAUAUAGACCAAUGGAACAGAACAGAGCCCUCAGAAGUAAUACCACACAUCUACAACCAUCUCAUCUUUGACAAACCUGACAAAAACAAGAAAUGGGGAAAGGACUCCCUAUUUAAUAAAUGGUGCUGGGAAAACUGGCUAGCCAUACGUAGAAAUCUAAAAUUGGAUCCCUUGCUUACACCUUAUACAAAAAUUAAUUCAAGAUGGAUUAAAGACUUAAAUGGUAGACCUAAAACCAUAAAAACCCUAGAAGAAAACCUAG